UACGUAGGGGGCGAGCGUUGUCCGGAUUUAUUGGGCGUAAAAGGCUUGUAGGUGGCCACGUCAAGUCGGAUGUGAAAUCUCCCGGCUCAACUGGGAGGGGUCAUUCGAUACUGGCGGGCUCGAGGCCGGUAGGGGCAGAGGGAAUUCCUGGUGUAGCGGUGAAAUGCGUAGAGAUCAGGAAGAACAUCGGUGGCGAAGGCGCUCUGCUGGACCAUAACUGACACUCAGGGACGAAAGCUAGGGGAGCGAAUGGG
rnacentral:rRNA from 1 species